CGCAUCUGUGCAUGCAGCAUAUCAAUAAGCGGAGGAAAAGAAACUAACAAGGAUUCCCCUAGUAACGGCGAGUGAAGCGGGAAGAGCUCAAAUUUGAAAUCUUAAAGGGUUUCCCUUUACGAAUUGUAGUUUAAAGAAGUGUUUUCUGUUGAGGUUUUGGUAAAAGUUCUUCGGAAUAGGACAUCAUAGAGGGUGAGAAUCCCGUAUUUGACCUUUACUUUCAACUUUGUGAUACACUUUCAAAGAGUCGGAUUGUUUGGGAAUGCAGUCCAAAAUGGGUGGUAAAUUUCAUCUAAAGCUAAAUAUUGGCGAGAGACCGAUAGCGAACAAGUACCGUGAGGGAAAGAUGAAAAGAACUUUGAAAAGAGAGUUAAACAGUACGUGAAAUUGUCAAAAGGGAAGCGUUUGACACCAGUGUUGUUUUUCUGAAAAUCAAUUAAAGAACUGUUUAUGCUAAGCUGUUUAGACUUUAUCAGCUAACUGUUUAGUUUUGAGCUUUUCUUUAAUGCACUUUUCAGUUAACAAGUCAGCAUCAAUUUCUUUUGCUGUAAAAAAGCUUGAGGAAGGUGGCUUGAGAUUCGUCUUAAGUGUUUAUAGCCUCUUGCCUAUGCAGUCGGAGAGAUUGAGGUCUGCAGCGUAGAUCCUUCGGGGCUAAAUGCAUUUGUGCUAAGUUAUAGCAUUUUAUAGACAACUUGUUGACUAUGAUUUGUCUUGUAGCUUACUCGCUUAUGUUAUUUUACCUACGCUUAGGAUGUUGAGUCAUCACACAUCUCU
rnacentral:rRNA from 1 species